ensembl:lncRNA
AUGCACCGGCAUUCAGCUUCCACCUCAGAGUCAAGUAACAGCUGCUCAGACAGCUCGGAAGACCCGAGUGAGCCCAGCCGGGACUCAGAAACCGAGAGAGCAGAAUUAAUACGGUUUAGAGCGAAACCGAAUAAAGCUUUCAACAACGGGAAGCAAUCACAACACAAACUCACCGAUUGGGGAAACCUAAAAGCAGCUUGUGGGGACCAGGCACCGGCAGCCUUCAUGCACGCUUUCCCAGUGAAGGUUGCCGGAGCAUGGGGGAACCAACAAAGGGCAUAUACCUCAGUUAACCCAAAAGAAGCCAAAACUAUUUCAGAAAAAGGGGUCAAUUCAGCUGUAGUACCCACUCUUGUGGACGACCUUUCUAGCAAUAACGAUCUGCUCACUUUUGAUAUUAUGCAAAUAAGCCGCAUGCUUUUUGAUGGGGUGGGGUGGAUUGUAUUUAAGCAGGAGUGGCAGGACGACCGCAUUAGCCCGGGCUUCUGGGGAAGGGCAGCAAGUCAGCGAGCUGUCCCCAGCCGGCACAGCUUUCCCUGGCAGCAUCCUCACUCUGAGCACGCCCGAGAGGGAUCUGUAGGAGCUGCGGGAAGACACCUCGAUGCAGCGGCCCAGCUACAGCAACCCCCAGGGGGGCAGGGGACCCUCAUACCCUAUGCCCUCACAGGGAGCAGUCAAUUUUGCAUCCCCACCUACGGUGCAAUGGCAGAGUGGGGCAGCAUGGCCAGUAACACCCUCACACCCCCCACUGCCACAAGUCGCGCUGUUGCCACAAGACCAGCAGGAGACGCCCCAGAGCGGGAUCCCUGGGUGGCCUUGGCCAUGAGAAUAGGGAAGGAACCCCUAAAGGUGUGGGGGACGUGCCGCCUUUAUGGCAGUCAGGAUCCACAUGCCAUAGGGUUUAAGUUCUGGGGGGACACAGGAUCAGACUGCAGGAUUUUUCCCCACACCCUAGUCGCAGCACCAUCGGCAAGCCAAUUAAGCCCGAGCUUCAUAACGAGCAGGAGACUGACGAGAAUUGCAAGUUUCUGUUUACAGGACAUGCUCAUAGGACGUCCUCGUGACGCCUACAUGCCCAUUCCAGAGGAAAGUGACAGACCAACAAGUCAUCAGACAGCGCCCGAGAGACCCGAACGAGUGAGAUCCAAGCAUCAACGGUGCUUCUGUGUGAUUUUGCUGUUGGGGCUUGUCGCCAGAGGACAAGCUAGCCCAGACCACUACCCCCAUCGGCCAUUCAGGUGGGUCAUGCGACACCUUAGUAGUGACAAGGUGCUCGGGGAAAUCACCACACUGAACACCCCAUCCUUCGUGCUCCGCAUUACCGACCUGUUUCCAGGACAACCAAAGGUAGACCCCAAUUCCCCACACGCCACACACAUGUAUCUAUCCUACUGGUGCCCAGCCUCAAACCCAGGUAAAAGCUACUGCAAUCACCCAGGGUGGGGAUAUUGUGGGCACUGGGGCUGCGGAACCAUAGUUACAGAUGCCAGGCCAUCGGGGUCUGGGUGGGAUCCACAAGAGCCUGACAAAUUCUUACUGUUCACCUGGGCACCCAGCGGCUGCAAAACACCCGUCUUCCUCCAGGGAAGCUUUUAUCGCAGUCACCAUAAAAUCCCAAAAAUUUGGAAAUGCACUAGCUAUAACAUGACGGUCUUGCAGCCACAUCACCCCAGUUGGGCCAUAGGCAGAACAUGGACAGUAGUCCUUCAAGGGUUAAAAGAAAGAGUGAAUGUGCAAAUUAUCAGGCUCCAACCAUCGGCGCCCCGAGCGGUCGGACCCAACAAAGUGAUUAAAAGCGUGCCGAAAGGGAGAAACGCAACCUACCCUAAAACCUAA